GACGAACGCUGGCGGCGUGCUUAACACAUGCCAGUCGAACGGAAAGGCCCUGCUUUUGUGGGGUGCUCGAGUGGCGAUCGGGUGAGUAACACGUGAGUAACCUGCCCUUGACUUUGGGAUAACUUCAGGAAACUGGGGCUAAUACCGGAUAGGAGCUCCUGCUGCAUGGUGGGGGUUGGAAGGUUUAGGCGGUUGGGAAUGGACUCGCGGCUUAUCAGAUUGUUGGUGGGGUAGUGGGUUACCAAGGCUUUGACGGGUGGCGGGCCUGAGAGGGGGACCGGCCACAUUGGGACUGAGCUACGGCACAGACCCCUACGGGAGGGAGCAGUGGGGAAUAGUGUACAAUGGGCGGAACCCUGAUGUAGCAACGCAGCGCGCGGGAUGACGGCCUUGGGUUUGUAAACCGCUUCCGUCUGUGACGAAGCGUGAGUGACGGUAAUGGGUAAAGAAGCACCGGCUAACUCCGUG
rnacentral:rRNA from 1 species